AGCGAACGCUGGCGGCAGGCCUAACACAUGCAAGUCGAACGAACCCUUCGGGGUUAGUGGCGGACGGGUGAGUAACACGUGGGAACGUGCCUUUAGGUUCGGAAUAACUCAGGGAAACUUGUGCUAAUACCGAAUGUGCCCUUCGGGGGAAAGAUUUAUCGCCUUUAGAGCGGCCCGCGUCGGAUUAGCUAGUUGGUGAGGUAAUGGCUCAACAAGGCUACGAUCAGUAGCUGGUCUGGGAGGAGGACCAGCCACAUUGGGAAUGAGACACGGCCCAAACGCCUCCGGGAGGCAGCAGUGGGGAAUCUUGCGCAAUGGGCGAAAGCCUGACGCAGCCAUGCCGCGUGGAUGAUGAAGGUCUUAGGAUUGUAAAAUCCUUUCACCGGUGAAGAUAAUGACUGUAGCCGGAGAAGAAGCCCCGGCUAACUUCGUGCCAGCCGCCGCGGUAACAC
rnacentral:rRNA from 1 species